rfam:Dipodomys ordii contig_12569, whole genome shotgun sequence.
GGCGCUGUGGCUCAGUGGUAGAGUGCUUGCUUUGCAUGCAUGAUAUCCUGGGUUCGAUCCCUCAGCACCA